AGUGAACGCUGGCGGUAGGCCUAACACAUGCAAGUCGAACGGCAGCACAGUAAGAGCUUGCUCUUACGGGUGGCGAGUGGCGGACGGGUGAGGAAUACCACGGAAUCUACUUUUUCGUGGGGGAUAACGUAGGGAAACUUACGCUAAUACCGCAUACGACCUACGGGUGAAAGCAGGGAAUCUUCGGACCUUGCGCGAUUGAUUGAGCCGAUGUCGGAUUAGCUAGUUGGCGGGGUAAAGGCCCACCAAGGCGACGAUCCGUAGCUGGUCUGAGAGGAUGAUCGGCCACACUGGAACUGAGACACGGUCCAGACUCCUACGGGAGGCAGCAGUGGGGAAUAUUGGACAAUGGGCGCAAGCCUGAUCCAGCCAUACCGCGUGGGUGAAGAAGGCCUUCGGGUUGUAAAGCCCUUUUGUUGGGAAAGAAAAGCAGCAGGUUAAUACCCCGCUGUUCUGACGGUACCCAAAGAAUAAGCACCGGCUAACUUCGUG
rnacentral:rRNA from 1 species